rnacentral:tRNA from 1 species
AAUUUUAUAAUAAAAUUACCUAAAAUUUAAUAUUAUAAAAAAAAAUAUAAAUAUUAUUCUUAUAAUUAUAAAUUAUUAUAUUAAGUACUUAUUAUUUUUACUUAUAUUAAAUAUAAUUAUAGCUAAUAAGCUAAUUAUAUUAUUUUAUAAAAAAAUUAAAUAUAAAUUUAGUAUUUUAAAGGGAAUAAUAUUAGAUUAAAAGUUAUUAUUUAUUAGUAAAUUCUAAUUAAACUUA